rnacentral:rRNA from 1 species
UACAGAGGUCUCAAGCGUUGUUCGGAUUCAUUGGGCGUAAAGGGUGCGUAGGCGGCGCGGUAAGUCGGGUGUGAAAUCUUGGAGCUUAACUCCGAAACUGCAUUCGAUACUGCCGUGCUUGAGGACUGGAGAGGAGACUGGAAUUUACGGUGUAGCGGUGAAAUGCGUAGAUAUCAGGAGGAACACCAAUAGCGAAGGCGGGUCUCUGGGCAGUAACUGACGCUGAGGAGCGAAAGCGUGGGGAGCAAACAGG